rnacentral:rRNA from 1 species
AGACCCGAAACCCGGUGAUCUAGCCAUGGGCAGGUUGAAGGUUGGGUAACACUAACUGGAGGACCGAACCGACUAAUGUUGAAAAAUUAGCGGAUGACCUGUGGCUGGGGGUGAAAGGCCAAUCAAACCGGGAGAUAGCUGGUUCUCCCCGAAAGCUAUUUAGGUAGCGCCUCGUGAAUUCAUCUCCGGGGGUAGAGCACUGUUUCGGCUAGGGGGCCAUCCCGGCUUACCAACCCGAUGCAAACUGCGAAUACCGGAGAAUGUUAUCACGGGAGACACACGGCGGGUGCUAACGUCCGUCGUGAAGAGGGAAACAACCCAGACCGCCAGCUAAGGUCCCAAAGUCAUGGUUAAGUGGGAAACGAUGUGGGAAGGCCCAGACAGCCAGGAUGUUGGCUUAGAAGCAGCCAUCAUUUAAAGAAAGCGUAAUAGCUCACUGGUCGAGUCGGCCUGCGCGGAAGAUGUAACGGGGCUAAACCAUGCACCGAAGCUGCGGCAGCGACGCUUAUGCGUUGUUGGGUAGGGGAGCGUUCUGUAAGCCUGUGAAGGUGGCCUGUGAGGGUUGCUGGAGGUAUCAGAAGUGCGAAUGCUGACAUAAGUAACGAUAAAGCGGGUGAAAAGCCCGCUCGCCGGAAGACCAAGGGUUCCUGUCCAACGUUAAUCGGGGCAGGGUGAGUCGACCCCUAAGGCGAGGCCGAAAGGCGUAGUCGAUGGGAAACGGGUUAAUAUUCCCGUACUUGGUGUUACUGCGAAGGGGGGACGGAGAAGGCUAUGUUGGCCGGGCGACGGUUGUCCCGGUUUAAGCGUGUAGGUGUGUGUUCCAGGUAAAUCCGGUUCACUUUAACACUGAGGCGUGACGACGAGGCACUACGGUGCUGAAGCAACAAAUGCCCUGCUUCCAGGAAAAGCCUCUAAGCAUCAGGUAACAUCAAAUCGUACCCCAAACCGACACAGGUGGUCAGGUAGAGAAUACCAAGGCGCUUGAGAGAACUCGGGUGAAGGAACUAGGCAAAAUGGUGCCGUAACUUCGGGAGAAGGCACGCUGACACGUAGGUGAAGUGAUUUACUCAUGGAGCUGAAGUCAGUCGAAGAUACCAGCUGGCUGCAACUGUUUAUUAAAAACACAGCACUGUGCAAACACGAAAGUGGACGUAUACGGUGUGACGCCUGCCCGGUGCCGGAAGGUUAAUUGAUGGGGUCAGCGCAAGCGAAGCUCCUGAUCGAAGCCCCGGUAAACGGCGGCCGUAACUAUAACGGUCCUAAGGUAGCGAAAUUCCUUGUCGGGUAAGUUCCGACCUGCACGAAUGGCGUAAUGAUGGCCAGGCUGUCUCCACCCGAGACUCAGUGAAAUUGAACUCGCUGUGAAGAUGCAGUGUACCCGCGGCAAGACGGAAAGACCCCGUGAACCUUUACUAUAGCUUGACACUGAACAUUGAGCCUUGAUGUGUAGGAUAGGUGGGAGGCUUUGAAGUGUGGACGCCAGUCUGCAUGGAGCCGACCUUGAAAUACCACCCUUUAAUGUUUGAUGUUCUAACGUGGACCCGUGAUCCGGGUUGCGGACAGUGUCUGGUGGGUAGUUUGACUGGGGCGGUCUCCUCCUAAAGAGUAACGGAGGAGCACGAAGGUUGGCUAAUCCUGGUCGGACAUCAGGAGGUUAGUGCAAUGGCAUAAGCCAGCUUGACUGCGAGCGUGACGGCGCGAGCAGGUGCGAAAGCAGGUCAUAGUGAUCCGGUGGUUCUGAAUGGAAGGGCCAUCGCUCAACGGAUAAAAGGUACUCCGGGGAUAACAGGCUGAUACCGCCCAAGAGUUCAUAUCGACGGCGGUGUUUGGCACCUCGAUGUCGGCUCAUCACAUCCUGGGGCUGAAGUAGGUCCCAAGGGUAUGGCUGUUCGCCAUUUAAAGUGGUACGCGAGCUGGGUUUAGAACGUCGUGAGACAGUUCGGUCCCUAUCUGCCGUGGGCGCUGGAGAACUGAGGGGGGCUGCUCCUAGUACGAGAGGACCGGAGUGGACGCAUCACUGGUGUUCGGGUUGUCAUGCCAAUGGCACUGCCCGGUAGCUAAAUGCGGAAGAGAUAAGUG